UACGGGGAGGCAGCAGUAGGGAAUCUUCCACAAUGGGCGCAAGCCUGAUGGAGCAACACCGCGUGAGUGAAGAAGGGUUUCGGCUCGUAAAGCUCUGUUGUUAAAGAAGAACACGUAUGAGAGUAACUGUUCAUACGUUGACGGUAUUUAACCAGAAAGUCACGGCUAACUACGUGCCAGCAGCCGCGGUAAUACGUAGGUGGCAAGCGUUAUCCGGAUUUAUUGGGCGUAAAGAGAGUGCAGGCGGUUUUCUAAGUCUGAUGUGAAAGCCUUCGGCUUAACCGGAGAAGUGCAUCGGAAACUGGAUAACUUGAGUGCAGAAGAGGGUAGUGGAACUCCAUGUGUAGCGGUGGAAUGCGUAGAUAUAUGGAAGAACACCAGUGGCGAAGGCGGCUACCUGGUCUGCAACUGACGCUGAGACUCGAAAGCAUGGGUAGCGAACAGGAUUAGAUACCCUGGUAG
rnacentral:rRNA from 1 species